AAAUAAGAAGCAAAUUUUGCAUCUAGUUUCGACCUAGAAAUUUGAUGAAUUUAUCAUCCUUAUUUA
rnacentral:tRNA from 1 species